GAUGAACGCUGGCGGCGUGCCUAAUACAUGCAAGUCGAACGAACGGACGAGAAGCUUGCUUCUCUGAUGUUAGCGGCGGACGGGUGAGUAACACGUGGAUAACCUACCUAUAAGACUGGGAUAACUUCGGGAAACCGGAGCUAAUACCGGAUAAUAUUUUGAACCGCAUGGUUCAAAAGUGAAAGACGGUCUUGCUGUCACUUAUAGAUGGAUCCGCGCUGCAUUAGCUAGUUGGUAAGGUAACGGCUUACCAAGGCAACGAUGCAUAGCCGACCUGAGAGGGUGAUCGGCCACACUGGAACUGAGACACGGUCCAGACUCCUACGGGAGACAGCAGUAGGGAAUCUUCCGCAAUGGGCGAAAGCCUGACGGAGCAACGCCGCGUGAGUGAUGAAGGUCUUCGGAUCGUAAAACUCUGUUAUUAGGGAAGAACAUAUGUGUAAGUAACUGUGCACAUCUUGACGGUACCUAAUCAGAAAGCCACGGCUAACUACGUG
rnacentral:rRNA from 1 species